rnacentral:rRNA from 1 species
AUUGAACGCUGGCGGCAUGCCUUACACAUGCAAGUCGAACGGCAGCGCGGGAGCAAUCCUGGCGGCGAGUGGCGAACGGGUGAGUAAUACAUCGGAACGUGCCCAAUCGUGGGGGAUAACGCAGCGAAAGCUGUGCUAAUACCGCAUACGAUCUACGGAUGAAAGCCGGGGAUCGCAAGACCUUGCGCGAAUGGAGCGGCCGAUGGCAGAUUAGGUAGUUGGUGAGGUAAAGGCUCACCAAGCCCUCGAUCUGUAGCUGGUCUGAGAGGACGACCAGCCACACUGGGACUGAGACACGGCCCAGACUCCUACGGGAGGCAGCAGUGGGGAAUUUUGGACAAUGGGCGAAAGCCUGAUCCAGCCAUGCCGCGUGCAGGAUGAAGGCCUUCGGGUUGUAAACUGCUUUUGUACGGAACGAAACGGUAUUUUCUAAUAAAGAAGGCUAAUGACGGUACCGUAAGAAUAAGCACCGGCUAACUACGUG